rnacentral:rRNA from 1 species
GUAGGGAAUAUUGGGCAAUGGGCGCAAGCCUGACCCAGCCAUGCCGCGUGCAGGAUGAAGGCGCUCAGCGUUGUAAACUGCUUUUACUGGUGAAGAAAGCUUGUCCUGCGGGAUGAUUUGACGGUAGCCAGGGAAUAAGCACCGGCUAACUCCGUGCCAGCAGCCGCGGUAAUACGGAGGGUGCAAGCGUUGUCCGGAUUUAUUGGGUUUAAAGGGUGCGUAGGUGGUCAUUUAAGUCUGAUUUGAAAGCAGGCGGCUUAACCGUCUGAUGUGGUUGGAAACUGAAUGACUUGAAUGGGUUGGCGGUAGCCGGAAUGGGUCAUGUAGCGGUGAAAUGCAUAGAUAUGACCCGGAACACCGAUUGCGAAGGCAGGCUACUACGACUUGAUUGACACUGAGGCACGAGAGCAUGGGUAGCGAACAGG